rnacentral:rRNA from 1 species
UGCAGAGGGUGCGAGCGUUAAUCGGAAUUACUGGGCGUAAAGCGUGCGUAGACGGUUAUGUAAGUCAGAUGUGAAAGCCCCGGGCUCAACCUGGGAAUUGCAUUUGAGACUGCAUAGCUAGGAUGCGGAAGAGGGAAGUGGAAUUUCCGGUGUAGCGGUGAAAUGCGUAGAUAUCGGAAGGAACAUCAGUGGCGAAAGCGACUUCCUGGUCCAGCAUCGACGUUCAGGCACGAAAGCGUGGGGAGCAAACAGG